rnacentral:rRNA from 1 species
GUGCCAGCAGCCGCGGUAACACGUAGGGUGCGAGCGUUGUCCGGAAUUACUGGGCGUAAAGAGCUCGUAGGUGGUUUGUCGCGUCGUUUGUGUAAGCCCGCAGCUUAACUGCGGGACUGCAGGCGAUACGGGCAUAACUUGAGUGCUGUAGGGGAGACUGGAAUUCCUGGUGUAGCGGUGGAAUGCGCAGAUAUCAGGAGGAACACCGAUGGCGAAGGCAGGUUACUGGGCAGUUACUGACGCUGAGGAGCGAAAGCAUGGGUAGCGAACAGGAUUAGAUACCCUGGUAGUCCAUGCCGUAAACGGUGGGCGCUAGGUGUGAGGGUCUUUUCACGACUUUCGUGCCGUAGCUAACGCAUUAAGCGCCCCGCCUGGGGAGUACGGCCGCAAGGCUAAAACUCAAAGGAAUUGACGGGGGCCCGCACAAGCGGCGGAGCAUGUGGAUUAAUUCGAUGCAACGCGAAGAACCUUACCUGGGCUUGACAUACACCGGAUUGGGCUAGAGAUAGUCUUUCCCUUUGUGGCUGGUGUACAGGUGGUGCAUGGUUGUCGUCAGCUCGUGUCGUGAGAUGUUGGGUUAAGUCCCGCAACGAGCGCAACCCUUGUCUUAUGUUGCCAGCAUUUGGUUGGGGACUCAUGAGAGACUGCCGGGGUCAACUCGGAGGAAGGUGGGGAUGACGUCAAAUCAUCAUGCCCCUUAUGUCCAGGGCUUCACACAUGCUACAAUGGUCGGUACAACGCGCAGCGACACUGUGAGGUGGAGCGAAUCGCUGAAAGCCGGCCUUAGUUCGGAUUGGGGUCUGCAACUCGACCCCAUGAAGUCGGAGUCGCUAGUAAUCGCAGAUCAGCAAUGCUGCGGUGAAUACGUUCCCGGGCCUUGUACACACCGCCCGUCACGUCAUGAAAGUUGGUAACACCCGAAGCCGGUGGCCCAAACUUGUUAGGGAGCCGUCGAAGGUGGGAUCGGCGAUUGGGACGAAGUCGUAACAAGGUA